rnacentral:rRNA from 1 species
AUGGCCGCCGCCGAUCGUCUCUCCGUGCUCUCCGACCUCUCAGACGACCUGCUCGCAUCCAUCAUCUCCCUCCUCCCUGCCAGGGAAGCCGCACGCACUGCCGCCGUGUCCCGAAGAUGGCGCCCGCUCUGGCUGCGCACGCACACCCUCAACCUCGACACCAGCUACUACGGCCGCAUGAUCGCCGACUUCCUCGUGAAGGAGCGGCUGCUCCGCGACGCCCACGCCGCUCUCGGCGCCACCGGCCGGUGCCUCGUCAGGAGGCUCUCGCUGUUGGUGACCGAACCCAGCAAAGACAAAGGUUACGACACGUACGGUUGGAUGCCCAAGAAGCCGAGCCACGACACCUACGACCUCACGGCCUCCUUCCUCGCCGCCCCAGCGCUGCGGCACGUCGAGGAGCUCCGCGCCGGGAUCGUGUUAAACAAGGACGACGUGCCCGUGUUCAAGCGGAAGAAAGAAGAGCAGGCGCUCCUCGUGUACAAGCUCGAACAGGCCGACCUGAACCUCGGACGGACGUAUGUUCAAGACUGUUCCGUCGGGUACCAGGGCCUCCUCUGCUGUCUUCAGCACGCCAAGGUUCUUAGAUUGAAGCUGCCGAACAUCAAGAGCCUCACCGGCGUACUGGUCAAGCUGGUCCGUCUGGAACGGUUGGAGCUCGAAGGGGGAUUGACAUGGCCAAGAGACGAUGCAGCCGAGGCCGAGGCUAUCACGGACCUUCUGCAAUGCUGCCCCGUGAUCCACGGCCUGCGGAUUCGGAUUUUGCCAAAUCCUUAUGAUGAUGCCAGGAGAAGGAAUAAUGUAUCUUUACGAGAUUUUGACGUGUCUAUGGACUUGUUCGGGAAGCGUGACUCGGAAGAGAUGGUUCCCCUCAUGCUCGACGGCGACACUAGUGCCAUAGAAGUUGUCCCGAAGCUCCCGGGCUUGACCGGUCGCCAGUUCGAUUGCUUGCAGAGUCAUCUGAAAAUUGUGAGGUUGGAGUUUGAGGUGACGGAGCUGAGUAGUUUUGAGGUUUGCCUUGCCAGGUUCUUUGCGGAGAACUGUAUUGCCCUUGAGGUCCUCGAAGUCGAUGAUGGAAAGCAAAGGUUUUUCAGCCAUAUCGGUUGGAUUGUAGAGAGAUGGACAGCUAAUGCGUCGAAACUGAGGAAACAAAUGGAACGAGAUUCUCCUCAAGAGGAAGAGGCGAUGGUGAGCGUGAAAAGGAAAAAGGAUGAUGGUCUACAGCGCAACGUUAAAAAUCAAAUGUUAGGUCUUGUAAGAGUGAAAGAUAACCGAAAGUGCCUAUGUGAGCCCGAGCUCCUGUACGCUCGCUAUCUGUGCCGCUGCUUUGCCCCGAGAUGCUCGUCAUAA